rnacentral:rRNA from 1 species
AUGAACUGCCUAUUACGGAACUCGCGCCGCCUCCUCCUUGUCUGUAAGCAGGCAGGCGGCGUCCGUCGACUGGCUUCGCUGCUGCCGCCCCAUGCAAACCAGGUGCUCCGCUUCAGUCAGUUGUACCGUAAUCCGCGUACGGUCGCUGCGGUGGCGGCCGUCGCCUCAGGUGCCGCGGCUAUGGCCGCCUUGGGCCGCUACGAUCGCGAGGUUGUGCCUUACACGAACCGCACGCACAUGGUCAUCAGGUCUCCCCAGGCCGAACGCCAGCUCUGGGAGUCCCGUUACACAAAGGACAAGAAAAUAUGGGCUUCCAAAUCAUGGAUCGUCGACCCGCUUCACCCAGACAGCGUUCGUGUACGUCGGAUCGCCGAGAAAGUUAUUGGCGCCACCUAUCGUACCCUCCCUAUCAACAGCAGCCACGAUGUCACCAAGAGCCCCAAGCCACAGACAAGUCAUCUUGAGGGGUUUGAGUGGGAGGUGAUACUUAUCAAAGACAACAGGCCCAAUGCAUUCUGCGUCCCUGGUGGCAAAAUUGCAGUAUUCACUGGAUUGCUCAAACAUUUUACAGAUGCCGAGAUUGCCUUUGUUAUUGCGCAUGAGAUUGGGCACAUCGUUGCCAGGCACUGCUCGGAAAUUUGGUACGCCAAGUGGUUUCCGUUACCCUUGAUUUUGCCUUUCUUUCAAAGGACGGAGAUGGAGGCAGAUCACAUUGGAACGCUUCUACUUGGAGCUGCUGGUUUCCAUCCAUACGCGUCCCUCUUGUACUUCCGGAAGGCCGCAAUGAUUGAAAGAGCGUCCUGGACGCCAGAAGAUCCCAUCCCUCUUCAUCCUUCAGAUAAGAGAAGGGUUGAGCGUUUGUAUCAACCCAAAAUCAUGGAGGAGGCGAUGAAGUUAUAUAAGGAAGCUCCGCCCGACGAAGACACCAGCUCACAAGCCACCGGUGAAGGUUUUUCCUUUCGACAAACCCUGGGAGAUGCAUGCAAACUUAUAUCGACAAGCCUGAGACGAGCACUUACGGGGGGAUCAACAUAUUAG